GGGGAACCUGUGGCUGGAUCACCUCCUUUCUGGAGACCCUGAAGAGAUUCUUCGGAAUCCCUUCUAGUCUUUAGGUCAAACACGAUGACUUCGGUCGUCGUUGACACUCAAAGUUUUCCAUCAUCUCGGUAUUGCUGUUCGGCUUUGAGCGACCGACGCUGUUCUCUCUAUUGGAAAGCAGCUCGGGCCAGUAGCUCAGUUGGUUAGAGCACACGCUUGAUAAGCGUGGGGUCGAAAGUUCAAAUCUUUCCUGGCCCACCGCUUAUCAAACGGGCGCUCGAGCCCUCUGGCAUGGCACGGGUGGGCGGCGGGAGAGGGGCGUUAGCUCAGCUGGGAGAGCAUCGGCUUUGCAAGCCGGGGGUCAAGGGUUCGAUCCCCUUACGCUCCACAGGCCUCCGGAAGCACGAAUCGGUGGUGCAGCGAACUUGACGGAGAACUGAAGUCGUUUAACGAUUCUCAGUCCUGCGUCGAGGGUGUUUCACUCUCGGAUCUCUGAAAACCAAAUAGACGACGACGACGCGAAAGCGUGUCUUGAGAAAACGAGCGUCAAUUGGAUCAGGUCGCGGUUCCUUAACGGAGCUUCGAUCUCGACUUCUGUAAACGGCGUAUCGAUACGAAUAUUAGUGGCGGGUGGCAAAGAGCUUCGGCUCUGCGCUGUCUGUAACUACCAACAAGAUUUGUGGAGACCUCCUCAAUAGGCCUUCGGGUCUGUUCGGGAGCCACGCCAAGUUGGUGGUCAAGCUACUAAGGGCGCAC
rnacentral:tRNA from 1 species